rnacentral:rRNA from 1 species
UACGUAGGGUGCUAGCGUUGUCCGGAUUUAUUGGGCGUAAAGAGCGUGUAGGCGGCCAGAUAGGUCUGCUGUGAAAACUCGAGGCUCAACCUCGAGAUGUCGGCGGAAACCAUAUGGCUAGAGUCCGGAAGAGGAAAGUGGAAUUCCUGGUGUAGCGGUGAAAUGCGCAGAUAUCAGGAAGAACACCUAUGGCGAAGGCAGCUCUCUGGGACGGUACUGACGCUGAGACGCGAAAGCGUGGGGAGCGAACAGG